rnacentral:rRNA from 1 species
GACGAACGCUGGCGGCGUGCUUAACACAUGCAAGUCGAACGGAAAGGCCCUGCUUUUGUGGGGUGCUCGAGUGGCGAACGGGUGAGUAAGAGGUGGGUAACCUGCCUUUGCUUUUGGGAUAACUUACGGAAACUGGGGAUAUUACAGACUGGAAGCUCCUGCUGCUGGGUGGGGGUUGGAAAGUUUCGGCGGUUGGGGCUGGACUCGCGGCUUAUCAGCUUGUGGGUGGGGUAGUGGCUUACCAAGGCUUUGACGGGUAGCCGGCCUGAGAGGGUGACCGGCCACAUUGGGACUGAGAUACGGCCCAGACUCCUACGGGAGGCAGCAGUGGGGAAUAUUGCACGAUGGGCGGAAGCCUGAUGCAGCAACGCCGCGUGCGGGAUGACGGCCUUCGGGUUGUAAACCGCUUUCGCCUGUGACGAAGCGUGAGUGACGGUAAUGGGUAAAGAAGCACCGGCUAACUACGUG